GGGUGAUUAGCUCAGUUGGUUAGAGCAUCUCGUUUACACCGAGAGGGUCGGGAGUUCGAGUCUCUCAACACCCACCA
rnacentral:tRNA from 1 species